UACGAGGGGAGCUAGCGUUGUCCGGAAUUAUUGGGCGUAAAGAGCUCGUAGGCGGUUCGUCGCGUCGGCUGUGAAAACCCGGAGCUCAACUCCGGGCCUGCAGUCGAUACGGGCGGACUUGAGUGUUGCAGGGGAGACUGGAAUUCCUGGUGUAGCGGUGAAAUGCGCAGAUAUCAGGAAGAACACCCGUGGCUAAGGCGGUUCUCUAGUACGGUACUGACGCUGAGACGCGAAAGCGUGGGGAGCGAACAGG
rnacentral:rRNA from 1 species